GAAACCUGGUUGAUCCUGCCAGUAGUCAUAUGCUUGUCUCAAAGAUUAAGCCAUGCAUGUCUAAGUAUAAACGACUUUAUACAGUGAAACUGCGAAUGGCUCAUUAAAUCAGUUAUAGUUUAUUUGAUAAUUCUUUACUACAUGGAUAACCGUGGUAAUUCUAGAGCUAAUACAUGCAUAAAAACCCGACUUUU
rnacentral:rRNA from 1 species